rnacentral:rRNA from 1 species
GACGAACGCUGGCGGCGUGCUUAACACAUGCAAGUCGAACGGAAAGGCCUCUUUCGGGGGGUACUCGAGUGGCGAACGGGUGAGUAACACGCGAGUAACCCGCCCCCGACUCUGGGAUAACUUCAGGAAACAGGGGCUAAUACCGGCCAGGAGAUCCUGUGGAACGGUGGGGUUAGGAAAGAUUCGGCGGUUGGGGAUGGGCUCGCGGCGUAUCAGCUCGUUGGUGGGGUGGUGGCUUACCAACGCUUUGACGGGUAGCCGGUCUGUGGGGGUGACAGGCGGCAUUGGGACUGAGGUACGGCCCAGGCAGCUACGGGGGGGAGCAGUGGGGAAUCUUGAACAAUCGGCGGCAGGCUGGUGCAGAAGCGCCGUGUGCGGGAUGACGGCCUUCGGGUUGGAAACCGCUUUCGCUAAUGACGAAGCUUUGUGUGACGGUAGUGGGUAAAGAAGCACCGGCUAACUACGUG